rnacentral:hammerhead_ribozyme from 1 species
AUUCAGCUGACAAGUCCCAAAUAGGACGAAACGCCCAUCAAACUGGAU